rnacentral:rRNA from 1 species
UAAAAAAAGGUAAGCUACUAAGAGCGAAUGGUGGAUGCCUUGACUGGUAAAGGCGAUGAAGGACGUACUAGACUGCGAUAAGCUACGGGGAGCUGUCAAGAAGCUUUGAUCCGUAGAUUUCCGAAUGGGGCAACCCAAUGUAUAGAGAUAUACAUUACCUAUAUAGGAGCGAACGAGGGGAAUUGAAACAUCUUAGUACCCUCAGGAAAAGAAAUCAAUAGAGAUUGCGUCAGUAGCGGCGAGCGAAAGCGCAAGAGGGCAAACCCAGUGCUUGCACUGGGGGUUGUAGGACUGCAAUGUGCAAGAGGUAAGUUUAGCAGAACAUUCUGGAAAGUAUAACCAUAGAGGGUGAUAGUCCCGUAUGCGAAAAACAAACCUUAGCUAGCAGUAUCCUGAGUAGGGCGGGACACGAGGAAUCCUGUCUGAAUCCGGGUCGACCACGAUCCAACCCUAAAUACUAAUACCAGAUCGAUAGUGCACAAGUACCGUGAGGGAAAGGUGAAAAGAACUGAGGUGAUCAGAGUGAAAUAGAACCUGAAACCAUUUGCUUACAAUCAUUCAGAGCCCUAUGUAGCAAUACAGGGUGAUGGACUGCCUUUUGCAUAAUGAGCCUGCGAGUUGUGGUGUCUGGCAAGGUUAAGCAAACGCGAAGCCGUAGCGAAAGCGAGUCUGAAUAGGGCGCUUAGUCAGAUGCUGCAGACCCGAAACGAAGUGAUCUAUCCAUGAGCAAGUUGAAGCUAGUGUAAGAACUAGUGGAGGACUGAACCCAUAGGCGUUGAAAAGCCCCGGGAUGACUUGUGGAUAGGGGUGAAAGGCCAAUCAAACUUCGUGAUAGCUGGUUCUCUCCGAAAUAUAUUUAGGUAUAGCGUUGUGUCGUAAUAUAAGGGGGUAGAGCACUGAAUGGGCUAGGGCAUACACCAAUGUACCAAACCCUAUCAAACUCCGAAUACCUUAUAUGUAAUCACAGCAGUCAGGCGGCGAGUGAUAAAAUCCGUCGUCAAGAGGGAAACAACCCAGACUACCAGCUAAGGUCCCUAAGUCUUACUUAAGUGGAAAACGAUGUGAAGUUACUUAAACAACCAGGAGGUUGGCUUAGAAGCAGCCAUCCUUUAAAGAAAGCGUAAUAGCUCACUGGUCUAGUGAUUUUGCGCGGAAAAUAUAACGGGGCUAAAGUAAGUACCGAAGCUGUAGACUUAGUUUACUAAGUGGUAGGAGAGCGUUCUAUUUGCGUCGAAGGUAUACCGGUAAGGAGUGCUGGAGCGAAUAGAAGUGAGCAUGCAGGCAUGAGUAGCGAUAAUUAAUGUGAGAAUCAUUAACGCCGUAAACCCAAGGUUUCCUACGCGAUGCUCGUCAUCGUAGGGUUAGUCGGGUCCUAAGUCGAGUCCGAAAGGGGUAGACGAUGGCAAAUUGGUUAAUAUUCCAAUACCAACAUUAGUGUGCGAUGGAAGGACGCUUAGGGCUAAGGGGGCUAGCGGAUGGAAGUGCUAGUCUAAGGUCGUAGGAGGUUAUACAGGCAAAUCCGUAUAACAACUCCGAGAACUGAAAGGCUUUUUGAAGUCUUCGGAUGGAUAGAAGAACCCCUGAUGCCGUCGAGCCAAGAAAAGUUUCUAAGUUUAGCUAAUGUUGCCCGUACCGUAAACCGACACAGGUGGGUGGGAUGAGUAUUCUAAGGCGCGUGGAAGAACUCUCUUUAAGGAACUCUGCAAAAUAGCACCGUAUCUUCGGUAUAAGGUGUGGUUAGCUUUGUAUUAGGAUUUACUCCGAAAGCAAGGAAACUUACAACAAAGAGUCCCUCCCGACUGUUUACCAAAAACACAGCACUCUGCUAACUCGUAAGAGGAUGUAUAGGGUGUGACGCCUGCCCGGUGCUCGAAGGUUAAUUGAUGGGGUUAGCAUUAGCGAAGCUCUUGAUCGAAGCCCGAGUAAACGGCGGCCGUAACUAUAACGGUCCUAAGGUAGCGAAAUUCCUUGUCGGUUAAAUACCGACCUGCAUGAAUGGCGUAACGAGAUGGGAGCUGUCUCAAAGAGGGAUCCAGUGAAAUUGUAGUGGAGGUGAAAAUUCCUCCUACCCGCGGCAAGACGGAAAGACCCCGUGGACCUUUACUACAGCUUGACACUGCUACUUGGAUAAGAAUGUGCAGGAUAGGUGGGAGGCUUUGAGUAUAUGACGCCAGUUGUAUAUGAGCCAUUGUUGAGAUACCACUCUUUCUUAUUUGGGUAGCUAACCAGCUUGAGUUAUCCUCAAGUGGGACAAUGUCUGGUGGGUAGUUUGACUGGGGCGGUCGCCUCCCAAAUAAUAACGGAGGCUUACAAAGGUUGGCUCAGAACGGUUGGAAAUCGUUCGUAGAGUAUAAAGGUAUAAGCCAGCUUAACUGCAAGACAUACAAGUCAAGCAGAGACGAAAGUCGGUCUUAGUGAUCCGGUGGUUCUGUGUGGAAGGGCCAUCGCUCAAAGGAUAAAAGGUACCCCGGGGAUAACAGGCUGAUCUCCCCCAAGAGCUCACAUCGACGGGGAGGUUUGGCACCUCGAUGUCGGCUCAUCGCAUCCUGGGGCUGGAGCAGGUCCCAAGGGUAUGGCUGUUCGCCAUUUAAAGCGGUACGCGAGCUGGGUUCAGAACGUCGUGAGACAGUUCGGUCCCUAUCUGCCGUGGGCGUAAGAAGAUUGAAGAGAUUUGACCCUAGUACGAGAGGACCGGGUUGAACAAACCACUGGUGUAGCUGUUGUUCUGCCAAGAGCAUCGCAGCGUAGCUAAGUUUGGAAAGGAUAAACGCUGAAAGCAUCUAAGCGUGAAGCCAACUCUAAGAUGAAUCUUCUCUAAGCUCUCUAGAAGACUACUAGUUUGAUAGGCUGGGUGUGUAAUGGAUGAAAGUCCUUUAGCUGACCAGUACUAAUAGAGCGUUUGGCUUAUCUUUAAUAAAGCAU